AUGGCUGAUGAGGUAGUUUAUAAAGCUGCGAGUGCAAUUAUUCAUCGCAGAUUUUAGGCUAUCUCGACAGCAUC
rfam:Anisakis simplex genome assembly, scaffold: ASIM_contig0000687